CUGGUGGUGCGCGCUUUCAAGCUUCUGUACCUUCUGCCAGACGGGAGCGGGGAGAAGAAGGAAUGACCGGGGUGGGUCAGGGACAAGUCUUGGACUAUGGACAGAAUGCUGGAGUAACU